rnacentral:lncRNA from 1 species
CCUGGGAAAUGGGAGGUGCCUAAUAAGUGUUUAUUGAAUUAAUAGAUGGGAGUUUGAAGCAAGCAACAUGAAUCAGAGCAAACAGGAUGAAGUAGUGGGGGGAAAAGAGGAACUAGUUUUACCUUAUUCUUCACAAAGACCAGGCUGACCCUCUGGCUGUGGUGAUGGAAGAAAAGCAUAGAAAGGUCCCAACUAAACAAUCUCCUUAAACUAAACAUUUCUACCCAGAGGCCUGGGAUACUCUUUUUUUUUUAGAGCCAAUGUCACUCUUCCCCAAAGGCCUUUUAAUUUCAAAUACACUAGGAAUCAGUGUUAAUUGCUCUUUUGAAAUAUCAUUUUGUUAGCUUCAUUUAGAUGGGGUAAUUUACAAAGUAGCACCUAGCAGCUGACAGUUCAUCCAUAGCUGUGUGGUGUCCAGACGUUUCCUGGGAUUUCUGCCCACCUCCUAUGCAGCUGGCAGAAUCUGCCAAACUAGGGUUUGUGCUCAACUGGAAUUAACUUGGAACCAGCAAAGGUUUGUUGUGUCUGAGAUUUUAAAAAUACUGAAAGGGUGAAGACCCAGCCCCACUUAAUCCAGAAAAUAAAGGUGCAGUAACUUAUAAAUUAAGAAUUAGCAGGUGCUGCUGCAUGCCUGUAAUCCCAGCAACCGGGGAGGCUGGGGCAGGAGGCAGUCUCAGUAAUUUAGCAAGGCCUAAGCACCUCAGUGAGACCCUGUCUCUAAAUAAAAUAUAAAAAGGGAGUGGGGAUGUUGCUCAAUGGUUAAGUGCCCCCUAGGUUCAAUACUGAUACCAAAAAAAAAAAAAAAAAGAAGAAGAAGGAAAGAAAAGAAUUAGCAGGUGCUUUAGGAUCUCCUGAUCCACACUGGGAGAUCUGAGUCUGGAACCCAGGUCCUUAAUUCUCUUUUUUUUAACCAGCAUAUUUCCUAUGCUAAUAUUCUCAUCAGAAACCCGUAGGUGGACAAGGAUAUUGCAGCUCCGACAGAUUCAAUGACAAGGUCAGCUGGCUGGUAGCUGGGAAGAGGUCAGAGUCUAUAUUUUUUUGUAUGUGGCACCAAACAGUAAGCUGGUGUCCUCUGGAUGUACACUAGUACGGAUGUAAGUGUUUCAAUUACUGUUUGUUUCUCUCUGAAGCUCUUUUUCUCUGACCAGAGACUUCCUGACCCUCCUUCACACAUGCUUCAAGGUCACAGCCCAGAUCAAAAUAUUUACCAAAAAAAAUAGGUACUUAUAGAGAGGAAUCUGUGCCAGCUCCUUCCCUAUGCCCUGUCUCCAACCAAGCUCAGCAAACCGAAGAAGGGAUAAAAUGGUCUCUGGAACCAGGCAUUUUUAGGUUUGGAUGCCAACAGAAAAACAGAUGAGUUCUGUCUGAUUCUCCAGCAGGCUGAGCCUGCUGCUGCUGCCACCUCCUGGGAGAAGACAAACCUUAGCUUCAUACCUGGAGCUACGCUGAUUUUCACCUGUGACUUGGGCAAAGACUCCACUGGUGCAGGGCUGAAAUUCC